GAGAGAUAACAAACAUUUCAAGGCUUUUCUUUGUGGAAAAAAAGUAAUUUGUGAAAUUUAUUGGUUUAAAAUCUUAAAUUUUAGAGAGUAAAGUAGAAGUUGCAUAUUCACAAGGUUUUUUUAAAUAUUUUUCUUUUAAAUUAUAUUUCUAAAAGUAUUUAUGUUUAAAUACUUUUAUUAUGUUGUUGGCAUCUUACACGACUGCAUGAUUUAUUUCAUUUGACACCAAAUAACAGGACAGGUUAGAUUUUUUAAGACGAAUAUUAUAUAAAAGUAUAAACAGUAAAUACAAUUAUAACAUUUAUUUUAGGGUAAACAAGUUCAAUCUAUUUAUCUUUCUUUAAUUUAUUAGUUAUAACAAAUUGGUUUGAGAACACAAGAAUAUUGGAAGUCAAGUUUUGAGAAGAGCAUCAAACACUGCCUAGAUCAAGAUCUUAUUAGCAAAGUGUGCAAAAAAAAUGGGGCUUGGCAGGCAACAAAUAUAGAUAUAUCGAGAAGUAUCAAACGUUAGCUCAUGCAAGCAUCAAGUUGGAAUUAUUGUAGAAGUUUAACCUUUCGCUAACCUUAAACUUUUAUAUGUAUUGUAUUGAAAGAAUAUUUUAUUGAAAUAAAAAUAUUUGGUAAUAUAAA